rnacentral:lncRNA from 1 species
AUGGGGCUCAGUCCCCUGCUGGGGCUCAGUCCCCCUGCUGGGGCUCAGUCCCCUUGCUGGGCUCAGUCCCCCUGCUGGGGCUCAUUUCCCUGCUGGGGCUCAGUCCUACUGCUGGGGCUCAGUCCCCCUGCUGGGGCUCAGUCCUCCUGCUGGGGCUCAGUCCUCCUGCUGGGGCUCAUUUCCCUGCUGGGGCUCAGUCCUACUGCUGGGGCUCAGUCCUCCUGCUGGGGCUCAUUUCCCUGCUGGGGCUCAGUCCUACUGCUGGGGCUCAGUUCCCCUGCUGGGCUCAGUCCUCCUGCUGGGCUCAGUAUUCUGCUGGGCUCAGUCCCCCUGCAGGGUUCAGUCCUCCUGCUGGGCUCAGUAUUCUGCUGGGCUCAGUCCCCUGCUGGGGCUCAGUCCUACUGCUGGGGCUCAGUCCUCCUGCUGGGGCUCAGUCUCUCUGCUGGUCUCAGUCCCCCUGCUGGGCUCAGUGCUUCUGCUGGGCUCAGUCCUCCUGCUGCGCUCAGUCCCCACUUGCUGAGGCUCAGUCCUCCUGCUGGGCUCAGUCCCCCUGAUAGGGCUCAGUCCUCCUGCCUGGUUUCAGUACCCUCCCUGCUGGGGCUCAGUCUCCCUGCAGGGCUCAGUCCAUCUGCUUGGUUCAGUCCCCCUGCUUGGGCCCCCUCCACCAGCCACGCCCACGACUCCACGCCCUCCCUUGGUCCCCUCCUCAGGCCCUCGGCUCCCACUCCUUCCCCACCUUGCGCUAGCCAGAGACGGCAGCGGAGGCAGGGACAGAACCCGGCGGGGCCGUCCCAGGCAGCGUGCGUGCGGUCAGACUCGCUGGGACGCCCCCUAGCUGGCACCCGGCUCUCUCCCAGCCUGCACCCCGGGAGCCCUCACCCCUCUCUUCCCCAGUGCACCAGCCCCUGGCCGUGGGCUUCUCCUGCCUGCUACAAGCCUCUCUCCCCAGACGGUGCUGACCCCCUGCCCAGGGGUCCCGGCGCAGCAGGGCGAGCAGAGCGCUGGUUCCAGCCCCAGCUACCCCACUUGCAAUCCAGCUCGGUGCCCACGAGCCUGGGAGGCAGCAGGCGAUGGCCCAAGUACUUGGGUUCUUGCCGCCCACGUGGAAGGCCAGGUGGAGCUUCUGGCUCCUGGCCCGGCUCCGGCUGCUGUGGCCAUCUGUGGAGCGAACCGUUUGGAAGGUGGGAAGCGGAUCAGCACCCUCCCACGUGCGGUGCGGGUCAAAUCCCAAACCUGCAGAGUACUUUCGUAAACACGUAAGCGGGAAAGGGUAGAACGGGCCCGGCCUGGGACCCACGGCCUGGGGCUCCCUCCAGCCAGGCAGCCCUGGGAAACAGGGCAGUCACUGACCCUCCCAGACGAGAGUGCGCCUUCCAGUCUACCCCGACGUGUGUCUCUGGGGCGCACGUGACUUCUGAAUAAAACGGACGCAUCUCUGGAACUGAACA